rnacentral:rRNA from 1 species
GUAGGGAAUAUUGGGCAAUGGAUGCAAGUCUGACCCAGCCAUCCCGCGUGCCGGAAGAAGGCCCUCAGGGUUGUAAACGGCUUUUGACGGUGAAGAAUCGACAGGAUGCGUCCUGUUUUGACGGUAGCCGUUGAAUAAGCACCGGCUAACUCCGUGCCAGCAGCCGCGGUAAUACGGAGGGUGCGAGCGUUGUCCGGAUUUAUUGGGUUUAAAGGGUGCGUAGGCUGGAAGGUCAGUCAGCGGUGACAAGCUGUCGCUUAACGAUAGUCUUGCCGCAGAUACUUCCUUUCUUGGAUGAGGAGGAGGCCACUGGAACGGAUGGUGUAGCGGUGAAAUGCAUAGAUAUCAUCCAGAACACCGAUUGCGAAGGCAGGUGGCUGUACCUUAAUCGACGCUGAUGCACGAAAGCAUGGGGAGCAAACAGGAUUAGAAACCCCUGUAGUCC